GAAGCACACAGGUAACGGGAAACCAGCAAAGUAAGCCUUGAGAAGCACAGACGUAGACACCUGACUAGAGCUCAGGGCUGGAGUGGUGGCUUAGUGGUCAAGAGCACUGGCUGCUCCUGUAGAGCUCCAGAUUCCAUUCCCAGUAGUCACAGGGCAGCUCACGACCAUCCAUAACUCCAGUUCUGAAGGAUACUGCACCCUCUUCUGACCUGUGUACAUGCACAUGAUGCACAUAUAUACAUGCAGGCCAAACACACACAUAUAUUAAAAAGAAAUAAAUCUAAAAAAAAAAUUUCAUUUAGUUUAGUGCUAUGGGGGUCUCCGAGACAUGAAAAAGAAAGAAAGCAGGCGCAGAGACUGCUCUUUUCUUUCCCUGGCACUCGGUGUGCAGAGUUGGCACGGAGGGGGUCUAAGCAGAAAGAAGCUAUCAAAACACUAGAGAGACUAGAUAAGGUGACCCAGGGCUGUAAUCCCAGCAUGAGGGAAGCUAAAUCAGGGAGUUAAAGGGGUUCCGGGGUGCUCUUACCUACACAGAAAAUUUGAGGGCAGCCUUGGCUACAUAAGAUCCUAUUUCAAACAAAAAACUAAAACUAAAGUGUUGGGCUGGAGAGAUGGCUCAGCAGGUUAAGAGCACUGAUUGCUCUUUCAAAGGUUCGGAGUUCAAUUCCUAGCAACCACAUGGUGGCUCACAACCAUCUGUAAAGAGCUCUGAUGCCCUCUUCUUGGUGUGUCUGAAGACAGGGACAGUGUACUCACUCACAUACAUAAAAUAAAUGAAUCAUUAAAAAAAAAAGAUACUAAAUCUAAAGUGUUAAGCCAAGAUUUUGGUAUCUCCACGAGACAGGAAUGAACCUAUCAAGGAAGGACCCUAAGAAGUAUUCCCGAAACGAAAGCAAAUCAGAAAUAGAUCAAGCUUUCCUGAACCUAACAGAGCCAACAGCCAGGGCCUCUAAAUUGUCUAUGUGAAAUGUCCAGCAUUCAAACAAUUACCAGGCAAUGCCAUGGAAAAGGAUCAGAUUGUUGGAGAAAUCAAUCCAAAAUCAAUCCAUAAAGAUAAAUGUGAGAGAGAGAGGGUCCAAAUCCUGGACUUGCCAAACAGAACUCUAAGAAAGAAAAUGGGUAAAGUCCAGAAAAACGAAGGCUUACAUUUCAACCAAAAAACAAAACAAAACACACAAAAAAAAGCAUAAUGUUUUUAAAAAUGUAAACAGCAUCCCCAUUACUGAAGUAACUAAAAUUAAGAACUGAAUAGAAGGGCUUGGGAGUAAAGAGGAGAAAGAGAAGAAAUGACUACCAGCCAGGAAGACAGGCCAGUCAAGAACCAGUCAUACUGAAACACAGAACACUCGGAGAGAGUCAGAGGCUCAGCAGGUGCCAUCAAGGCAGCUCCCAUACACACCGGCAUCUGAGAAGGGAAGGAGAAAAUUAACAGGGCAAAGGCAAGAUCUGAAGAGAACAACCCAAGAAUUUUCUAAAGCUGACCCCAAACCUUAUGCCAUGAUUCUUAGAAGGGUCUCCAAACUCCACAGAACACACAGAAGAAAAUCGGUGCCGUGCAUCACAGCAGAGCUAGCCUGAGCAACACGGGCAGAGCUUUUCUUAAAACAGAAACGAGAAAGCCAGAAGAAAUGGAAUCUCAUCCGUGAAGGGCUGAAAGUAAAUUCGGCUAGAAUUUUAUGGCCAGUAAAAAUAGCCUCCCAAUGUUAAAAGUAAGUGAGUGACAUUUUCCAGGAAAAUAUUGAAAGAACUGUGACACCAACAGACGCUAACACAGACACACAAACACAGACUCACAGACACACACACUCUCACAAAUAGAUAUACAGAGACACACACACAGAGACUCACAAAUACACACACACAGACACCACACACACAGACUCACAAAUAUACACACACAAAUUCAUAAAUACACACACAGACACACAGACUCACAGAUAGACACACUCACAGAGACACACACAGAGACACACAUAAACACCACACACACAGACUCACAAAUACACACACAUACAAAUUCAUAAAUACAGACACACAUAGACUCACAGAUAGACACACACUCACAGAGACACACACAGUGACACACACAAACACUACACACACAGACUCACAAAUACACACACACAAAUUCAUAAAUACACACACAGAGACACACACAGACUCACAGAUAGACACAUACACUCACAGAGACACACACAGAGACACACACAAACACACAAAUACACACUCACAAAUACACACACACAGACACACACAAAGAUCAGACACACACACACACAGACUCACAAAUACACAACAGACACACAGACUCACAGAACACACAUGCAGACACACAACAGGCACACACAAACACCACACACACACACCAGACACACAUACUCACAGACACACACACAUACUGCACUCCAGAGAGAAAAAAAGUGAAUCUGAGAAAGAAAAGAAGAACAUCAAAACCUUAAUAUACAGGGGCUAGAGAGACGGCUAAGCAGUUAAAAGAACCAGAGGACCCAAGUUUCACUUCCAGGACCCACAUCAGGCAGCUCACAACUGCCUGUAACUCUGGUUCCAAGGAUUCUGCCGCUCUCUGGCCUCUGGCAGCACCAGGCAUGCACACAGCAGACACAUAAACUCACAUAGGCGCACACACACAUGAAUAAAUUACAACAAAUAACUUUAACCUUAAAUCUGGAGAUCUGUCUACAUUAUUAUCUAUGUAAAGCCGUGUCUUUUUAAAAAUAAUUUAUUUUUAUUUCAUGUGUAUUGGUGUUUUGCCUGCACAAGUGUCUGUGUGAGGCCGUCAGAUCACGGAGGUGGAGACAGUUGUGAGCGGCCAUGUGAGUGCUGGGAACUGAACUCUGGUCCUCUGGAAGGAUAAUCAGUGCUCUUAACCGAUGCGCCAUCUCUCCGGUCCCCAUAAAGCAAUGUCUUAACAUCCAGGGAGACACUCAAAGGUUAAGAUAUCACACAGUUCACAAAAUACUUAAAACAUUUAUUGUUUUGCAUGUCUGUAUGGUUUGGGGAGGAGGCGUGCUAAAGGGUGGCGUUUGGAGGAUGACUUCCUGGGGUCACUUCUUUCUCUUUGCAGCUUUACCUGGGUCCUGGGGGAAUCGAACUCAGGUCACUGAGCUCCUGCAGCAAGACCCUGCCUACUGCAACAUCUCCCAGAGUAUUUACGACACGAACACAAGGUGAAGUCUAAGGCAAAAGAUGCAAAACCAAAUACACACCAAGCCUCCACUGUGCCAAGCCAGGGCAACCAAGAAGUUCUUACUAAAAAUACACUAAGAGGAGCCACCUCAUGUCAUAGAGUUCCAACACAGUCGUGGCCAGUUUUCAUUAUCUCUGUUGGUAGAAAUAUUUUCUUUUUCUUUCCUUUUUUUUUUGUUUUUUGUUUUUCAAGACAGGGUUUCUCUGUGUAGCCCUGGCUGUCCUGGAACUCACUUUGUAGAUCAGGCUGGCCUCGAACUCAGAAAUCUGCCUGUCUCUGCCUCCUAAGUGCUGGGAUUAAAGGCGUGCACCACCACUGCCUGGCGAAAUAUUUUUCAAUAUUUUAUUUCAUAUAAAACAAAUCUAGUAUUUCUUACACUGUAAGGAAUGACUGUAUUUUUUGCCUUCUUACAGAAGGAAGGAAGGAAGGAAGGAAGGAAGGAAGGAAGGAAGGAAGGAAGGAAGGAGGAAGAGGAGGAGGAGGAGAAGGAGAAGACGACGACAACAAUGACGACGACGACAUUUUUAAAAAAUUGAGCCCUGGCUCUAUAAUCCCUCUAUUAGGUAUUAAUAACACUAACUCUUAAGAGUCAAAAAUGAUGUGACAGGGACAUGGUUGAGAGAUGGCUCAAUGGUUAACAGCACUCCUUGCAGUUGCUGGACCCAAGUUUGAUUCCCAGCACCCGUAAGACAGCUCACCUGCAACAUCAGCUCCAGGAGGGCUGGAGAACCAGUGCCCUCCUCUGCCCUCCAAGAGCACUACAUACAUGUGGUGCUCAUACAUGCAGGCAAAAUAUUCAUACACAUUAAAUAAAAAUAAAAUAAACCAGUGUCCACCCAUAUGUACAUUUACACACAUACGCACCUUGUCUCAAAAACAAAAAACAAAAAAAAAAAACCAAAGAGUAAAUCUUGGAAAUGUUUACUCUCUUUAGUUCUAGCAAUUUAUCAAGAAUAAUAGUAAUAAUAAUAAUAAUAAUAAUAAUAAUAAUCUGAGAUGUGUUCAAAGAUUUGUGUGUUUUACAUUCAUUAAAGUAUUUGCAAUAGUUAGAAAUAAGUAAGCAAUAUUUUAAUAACCAGAGAUAAACUAAUAAUGCUAACUGAUUAAAUUGUACCCAGUACAUAAUAAGUAUAUCUGAAAAGAUAUUAAGUAUUUAAGAGAAAAAGUUUCAAAGAAGACUUUCUGAGAAAGAUGGUAAAUCACCUGCACAGUAGCCCAGUUCUAGUGCUGACCUCAGGGUCAGGCAGUCAUGCGCACGGCAGGUGUUGAACAAGCAUUUUCUCUGUUCGUCUCACAAGCCUAAAGGUCAGCGUUAUUUCCAGCGGCUAAAGGAGUUUGGGUUCAAGUGGUAGUGUUGCUCUCCAUGCCUGAGGAUAGGCAUUGCCAAAACAUACGUAUUAUACAAAACAACUAUAGGGUUGGUCUCCAGAUGUGUGUGUGUGUGUGUGUACAUAUACAUGUUUAUGUUCGUAUUUAUAUAUGUGUAUAUGUACAACAUGUUAAUACAUGUUACUAUAUAUGUGUAUAUACAUGUAUAUAUGUGUAUGUUUACAUAUAUGUAUUAUGUGUAUAUAUACACCAUAUUACAUAUACAUAUAUGUGUAUAUAUUUAUGCGUGUGUAUACACAUAUAUGUAUAUAUACCUUAUAUACAUGUGUGUGUAUAUGUGCAUAUAUAAAUACACACACACACAGAGUUUUGUGUGUACAGAGUUUUUUAUAUUCCAGCCUGGCCCGAAGCUGAAUGUGUAGCUCAGGAUGACCUUGACCUUCCAAGGGCUGGGAAUAUGGGCCUCAUGACCGUGUGCUGCUGGGCUGGAACUCAGGCUGUCCUGCUUGCUGUAAGCCCUCUACUCCCUGAGCUGCAGCCCCAGCCCCAGAUUUAAAAUCUCAGUCAUCAGCCGGUCAGACUGCAUGAUCUGUCAGGAAAUGCUGAAAGACGUGAGCCCACAAAAAUGAGUCGCUGCUCCAUCAGACUCUUGAAAAUCGCCAUAUGCGGUUUACAGACUCCUACUACCAAAAAACGGUCUAUGAAGUACUUUUACUUAUCAUUACAUAAAUUCAGCCACAAAAACAACUUUACUGAAGCUUUAAAUUGUCUCCUCUGGCCUUUAAAAACAACAGGCAAAAAAUAAAAAACGAGGAAAAUGGGAAGAUGGGGAGGAGACUUGCUGGGAAGAAGAGGAGGAUGCGAAGGAGAAAGAAUUUAGGAGAGAAGGGAAUGGGGUAAAAUGGUAGAAAUAUAGUAUACACGUGUGUGAAAUGGUCAAAGGUAGCCUUUACUUUUUUAAGAGAGCUAGCUGAGCAGGUAAACACACGGCCCAGACAGAACACAAUCGCCGUUUGAUCCCCAGGACCCGCGUGGUGGAAAAAGAGAAUGAAGUGGGCUGUCCUCUGCCCUCCAUACAUUCAUGGCAGCACCCCCACACACACACACACACGUACACACAAAUAAAAUAAAUAUUAAAAAAAAUUAGUUACUAGCUCACACCAGAAACAAGGUCACCUUGAGUUAAGAGCUCCUGGGAGGUUUAGGCAGGUGGACCUCAGAGAACUCAAGGCAGCCUGGACUCCACUCCAAGGCAAGGUCCCCACUCACAAUACCGAAAGAAGAGCGAUGGAGAGACUGCAGGCCCAUUAGAUCAGAGCACUGGACACUCCUACAGAGGACAGGGUUUCCAGUACCCAUGUCAGAGGGCUCAAGACUAUUUGUAACUCUAGUUCCAGGGGAUCCAGACACACCUUUUUGGCCUCUGUGGACACGUGAGAAACAUAUGCAUGCAGGCAAAGGCAUUCAUAGCCACAAAACAAAAAAAAAAAAAAAAGAAACAAAUCUCUUUUUUUAAAAAAUGAAAAGCAGUAAGAAGUCAUUAUAUAAUAAAUCUUAAUUACAACAUUCUGGGCAAAAGAGCAAGACGGGCCUACAGCUUAAUCUAGAAUUACCCAAGACUUUCAGUGUUUGGGUCCAUUUCCACAGAUUGGCUCAUACAGUCCCAAUUUCAUCUUGAGCCAUCAGCUAAUCUUCAAGCCCCACCAGAGAGAACGUGAUCAUUUCAGGGAAACCAGAAGUUUACAAAGUCAAAGUGAAUUCCCCAAGUCCUUUAUUUCCUGGGAAUGUCUUUCUACCUCCAACCUAGACAUCCAAUAUCGUCGCCCCCCCCCCCCCAAUCCUACAACUAAUCAGGACAGACCCACGAGCAUGCUCAGAUCCAAACAGUUUUUGGAAGUUAGCAGAUUUUUAACAUCCCCACGCCAUGCCCACAGCCUAGGCCCAGCCCUGAGCGUCAACACAGAGCCUUGUGAAAGCAGAGAAUGUUUAUGCAAAGGGAAAAGUUCUUUAGAAUUCUUGGAGCAUUUUUGCAUCUUUUCUCUCAUCUUAUUCUCAAAAAGAGACUGGGGAUGUAGCUCAGUUGGUCCGCUUGCCUGACAUGCACAAGACCCUGGGUUUGAUCCCCCAGCUCCACAUAACCAGGGUGUGGUGGUGCACCUCUAUUAUCCUAGCCUGGGGGAGGAUGAGGACAGCGACCAGAAGCUCAAGGUCACCUUUGUCCACAUAGCAUCAAGGCUAGCCUGGGCUUCAAGGCUAGCCUGGAGACCCUGUCUCCAAACAAAGAAAUAACAAAUUCAUUCAGGAAAUCUGAGGCUGAGGAAAAGAAGGUUCAGAGGUGUCAAACUGCCCAAGAACAGUAUUGAGGGCCAGUAUGGUACCCUAUCCAUCCGUGUCCGUCACAUGCCAGGAUUUAUAUUAACAAACCUGAGGCCUCGCUGACUUACAGGCUAGUCAGAGGCAACAUGAAAAAGUGGGGAAAGCACCUGUUUGUACAGUCAAGUCUGGGUUUCUGGAUUUGAAUCUCUGCCCUACUAUUCACCAGCCAGGAGGCCUAAAGCAAUCUCCUAAACCCCUUUGUGUCCCCAUUUCCCCAUCUGUGUAAUGGGUAGAGGAACACCGCCAUACUUGUGGUCAAAUGAGGAUGAUGAGCUUGUGAGUGGUCCUUGCAUUUUCAAGUGACUCCUGUCUCCAAACGCUCACAAGUGAGGCUGAUGUGGCCUAGUGAGCUGCCUUGUCUUCUAAAGAAGGAAAGGACCCUCUUGUGCCAACUCAGCCUCUACAUCUGGCACCCUGGGUCCUCUUAAUAGCUCCCGAGAGCCGCCUGCAUGGGAUCUCUUUCUUCUCAGGCUCUCUUUUAACACUGUGCACAGGCUUUUAAAUUCAAGUCCCCUAAAGUGUCCUCUGGAAGGACGCCGAGAGGGUUGAAGAGCCCUGGGGUGGCUGGGUGCCCAGCACUGCCUCCUCGGCCGCUGCUCACACUCCAUCCAGCACGGGGUUUCAGUCUGUGAUGUCAGAGUUCGAGGCACACCCAGAGGGGAAGCAGGAAUGAGCUGAACACAGAAGGAACCGCAGGGGACAGAGGCCUGCCGCCCACGGAGCAAGGGCAAGAGACUGGGGCCUCAGAGAGAAUGGGAGUAAGGGGAAGAAGCGGAAAGGGGAAGCCCCUCAGCAGCACCUCUCUUCAGCCUCCGCCAUGGAUCAGAAACCCUUCGACUCUCCAAUGAAAGACUUUGGUCGGCAAGCAUCCCCAACGUCUACCUACAGCUCUCUGCCAGCAUCCAGGGUAUCUGCGGGUGUUCUCCUCCGUUCUCAGAAUCUAUGGUCAGCUCAGAACAAGUGACUCCUAAAAUCCA